rnacentral:rRNA from 1 species
UACAGAGGGUGCAAGCGUUAAUCGGAAUUACUGGGCGUAAAGCGCGCGUAGGUGGUUUGUUAAGUUGGAUGUGAAAUCCCCGGCUCAACCUGGGAACUGCAUCCAAAACUGGCAAGCUAGAGUAUGGUAGAGGUGGUGGAAUUUCCUGUGUAGCGGUGAAAUGCGUAGAUAAUAGGAAGGAACACCAGUGGCGAAGGCGACCAACCUGGACUGAUACUGACACUGAGGUGACGAAAGCGUGGG